rnacentral:lncRNA from 1 species
GAAUACUAGUCUCUGAAAACAGCAAAAUGAUCUCUAGUCCCAACUUUCUGCUCUUUCUCUUGGCAGGAAUAAAAGUCUUCCAGGGAGAAGGACAGGGGAAGAAGAGGCUAGAGACAUAUAUGUUGCCUGCUUUUGAGCCACUCAACAACAUCCCCAUGCUACUUUUAGAUGGCAGCCCUUGCAGCAUUUGGGCCUUACCACCUCACGUGAUUGGAAGACAAUUCAGAUAUCAUCUAAUCCUAAUUAUACUGAAGAUGGAAACACAUAUCCCUCACCCACCCAAUGAAAACUCCUGCAAAUGUUCAAACAUCUUCUGCUGGAAAGACUGCUAGUGAAAGAUCAUCUAUUUUAUUACCACAUAAAGCAAACCUAAUCCCUACCAGAUGUUUAUUUGAAGGCAGAGUCUUCUAUGUAGAGUUAGGUAUUUUUUUUGCAUUUUUAAAUUUUAUCACUUUAUUUGGCAAAAAGUACUUAUAAAUAACCAAAAAGAUAACACAUCCCAGACUAAAUUCUCUGCCUUAAUAGAUUCUGAAAUAAAUGGAAUCAAAAUUAAGUUGAUUAUACUAUA